rnacentral:lncRNA from 1 species
ACUUACCGAUAAGUACCGAAUCAAACCGAGUUAUUCAAAACCGAAUAAAACAUCAAACACAUUUAAUAAAAUAAAUCUGAAAGAAAUACAUCUUUAAAUUGAUUUAUAAAAAUACGACAAAUAAAUCAAAUAAAAAAAACGAAAUAAAAAUAUGAUGAUCCCCAAGACACCAACCAGUCCAGAUAUCCAACUACUCGGCAAGCUCACCUGCAAUGGGAAGAAAGAGGGAUGAGCAACAGGGGAGUCACCCAGUGAGGUAUGGGAUGCUAAACCGCAAAUCACUGACUCAGUACAUAGCACUACGACUAUGUAGGAAUAGCUCUAGCAUGAACAAACAAGAUGUCUAGCGCAUCACACAAAACAAACAAUGCGCUGAUGGUACAAAGCUAGUCCACACACCCCGCAUUAUCCUCACACGGAUAUACGAUAAUAUAAUAUGCGUCGCUAGUCCAGACAUCUCUGGACCCCCCGCACUCCACUAAUAUGCGUCGAUAUGCAAACGUCUCUGCACCCCUCACCACACAAUAUAUACGUCGCUAGCUCAGACGUCUCUGGACCCACGUAUUCAUCACAUAUGCGUCGCUAGGUCAGAUGUCUCUGUGCCCCCGCACUCUAUACGUCGCUAGCCCAGAUUUCUCUGGCCCCCGUACUCUAUAUGUCGCUAGCUCAGAUUUCUCUGGCCCCCGUACUCAUAUGCGUCGCUAGCCCAGAUCUCUCUGGGCCCCCGCACUCCUCAUAUAGUCCCUACUAUAUAACUAUAUAUACAUAUAUAACAGUUUUUAACAUCAAUCAUUUCACACAACCGUUGAACCCUCUAUUAUCCUAUUUCCAGUUUAACAAUCAAAAAUAAUAAUAAACAAACAAGACUCUCAAACAGACUCGAUUCACAGAGACGAAUCAUGUUUCGAAACUAGACUUUCCAUAAUAGUAGUACUAAACUAGCUCGGGAUUUAACGGAGUAGCCCUCACCUUAGUCACUGGCUGGAAUGAUCAACAUAAGAUGGUCAACCGAGAUCAACUGCAACACGAGAGUCAAUGACUUAGGCUCAGAGUCUCAGGGAUAAGGUUUCCAAAAAUAGAAACUUUCCUAAAAUAGCAACCUUUCAAA